AUCGCGCUCCGCGGCGGAGGGAUCUGUCCGCGCAGCGAAAUUGUGAAUUCCCAGACUCACGUGGGAAAUCGGCUUAUACUGCAGUGUCCUCAAAAGAUGCGUGUGCUGGUUCACGCCAAAGAAGAAAAGGGGUCAGGGAAGGGUUGACAACCCUGACUCCAUCUUGCGACAGCCACCAUUUUAUGGGGUUCCCCGACGAGCAGCCACCUCUUGGAAUCAUGAUAAACAUUCUAAGGCUCGCUCCUGAGGUUUUCGCUUAAAGGUUUGGAGCCAGGAUGGGAUAUGAAGUGAUGGAGGCGCCUCCUGCGGAUCUCUGGACCUGCCCAAGCGAGCAAUGCAGCCAGGUGUUGCUUCUCUUCAGGCGGCCCCUGCCGUCCCUGGCUGGGAGUGGGGGGUGACAGAACUUCUGAAUCUUGCAAGACUUUCCUGAUCCAAAAGAAAAUCCAGAAGAGUUCAUGUAACAACUCAUUUGGACUAUCGUGCCUAUAAUCCAGGCCCUUCUGACCUCUACCAGCUAGUACGCAUGCCUGUCGGACCUGUACAGGCCCAAGAACGGAUGAAUAAGGUUGGCUGAGAAGACCCGUACAGGAUUUUAAAUUUCUGCAUAAUGAGGCCCUAGAAAAAAAACUUCUGCUAUAGCUGCCAAUUCUGGUUCCCCAUAUGUGGGGAGCUCAAAAUAAACUAGAAGGCAGUGCAGAUACAUAAAUAAAACCCUGGACAUUUCAAAAAGGUAAAAUAUAAAUGAUGGUUCCAAAAGAACAAAAAUCUCAAAAACAAUUCCUUUAUCAGAUUAGAGAUGUCCCAAGGACAAAAAGGGGAGUUUUCCCUUUCUCAUAGCAAACACCAUAACAAUUCAGAAUGAAGAUGGUUUUAUUCUUACAGACCCUGGAGCGCCUUAUUCAGCCCCCAGUCCCAGUCUAUUGGCCAGUCCCCUCCAGGAUACAAAAGCAUUUAACCAUGAUCAGGGUCAUUAAUCAGCCACCAACUCCCCACAUUAUCUCAACCCCUAGCGUUCAUUCUUGGCACACAACAAAGCAACUGUUCCUUUUUGUUGGUGCCCUCAUCCUCGGCACUUUUUUUUUAAGUAGCCUCCACGUCCAACCUGAGACUUGAACUCUGGACUCUGAGAUCAAGAGUUGCAUCUUCUACAGACUGAACCAGCUAGGUGCAACUCCGCCCCCCUCAACCCCUUCCUCAAGCACUUUUCUUAGGAAGAAAUUUUUUGCAGGCUCACCAGGCCCAUAUUUCCUUUGACCAAAAAAAUGAAAUGCUAUUCUGCCUUCUCAACAUUUAGAAUUCCUAAUUCUGCGAUCUGCUCAGGGCUGCCUUCCAGGCCAUCCACUGUGCUCCCCCCAUUCCUAAAUGUACUCCCUAACCAGUUGUGGGCCACCUCUUCCACUGAUAUAGGACACGUAACCUUGGUUCCCCAAUAACUAUUCAAAUUGAUCCAUUCAAGGCCUUACCCAAUAUUAACAGUACCUAUUAAGCCUUAUGGCCGUUAUAAUAAUAACUAAUAACUCCUGUUAUUCAACACUUUAUCAACAAAGGAUUAAUCAUCCCCAUCACUAGUCCUUGUAACCCCAUUUUUACAGUUAAAAAGCCCCAUAAUACAGGAAGGUAUCUUGUGCAAGACCUUAGGGCAAUUACCAAUGCAGUCACACCCUGUCACUUUUUGCUCCUGACUCCCGUACCUUCCUUUCUAAUAUACCAGCUGCAACCACAACUUUUUUGUUGUUCCCUUAUGCAAUGCCUUUUUCAGCAUCCCUGUCAACCCCUUAAGUCAGUAUCUUUUUACUUUUACAUGAAACAAUCAACAAUACACUUGACGGGGCGCCUGGGUGGCUCAUUUGGUUGAGU